GAUGAACGCUGGCGGCGUGCCUAAUACAUGCAAGUCGAGCGAACAGACGAGGAGCUUGCUCCUCUGACGUUAGCGGCGGACGGGUGAGUAACACGUGGAUAACCUACCUAUAAGACUGGGAUAACUUCGGGAAACCGGAGCUAAUACCGGAUAAUAUAUUGAACCGCAUGGUUCAAUAGUGAAAGACGGUUUUGCUGUCACUUAUAGAUGGAUCCGCGCCGCAUUAGCUAGUUGGUAAGGUAACGGCUUACCAAGGCAACGAUGCGUAGCCGACCUGCGAGGGUGAUCGGCCACACUGGAACUGAGACACGGUCCAGACUCCUACGGGAGUCAGCAGUAGGGAAUCUUCCGCAAUGGGCGAAAGCCUGACGGAGCAACGCCGCGUGAGUGAUGAAGGUCUUCGGAUCGUAAAACUCUGUUAUUAGGGAAGAACAAAUGUGUAAGUAACUAUGCACGUCUUGACGGUACCUAAUCAGAAAGCCACGGCUAACUACGUGCCAGCCGCCGCAGUAA
rnacentral:rRNA from 1 species